rnacentral:misc_RNA from 1 species
GAUGAAGAACGUAGCGAAAUGCGAUAAGUAAUGCGAAUUGCAGAAUUUCCGUGAGUCAUCUAAUCUUUGAACGCACAUUGCGCCCACUGGUAUUCCGGUGGGCAUGCCUGUUCGAGCGUCAUUAUCCUCCCUCAAACCCCGGGUUUGGUGUUGGACCCAAGUUGUGUGAACAACUGGUCUUAAAGACAAUGACGGCGUCCGUGGGACCCUCGGUGCAACGAGCUUUUAGGAGCACGCAUCGAGUUGCAAGGACCUUCCGGGCCGGUCUCCUUUACUAUUUUACAAGGUUGACCUCGGAUCAGGUAGGAAUACCCGCUGAACUUAAGCAUAUCAAUAAGCGGAGGA